UACGUAGGUGGCAAGCGUUGUCCGGAUUUAUUGGGUUUAAAGGGUGCGUAGGCGGCCCUGUAAGUCAGUGCUGAAAUAUCCCAGCUUAACUGGGAGGGUGGCAUUGAUACUGCGGGGCUAGAGUACAGAUGAGGUAGGCGGAAUUGACGGUGUAGCGGUGAAAUGCUUAGAUAUCGGGAGGAACAUCAGUGGCGAAGGCGGCCCUCUGGUCCAGUACUGACACUCAAGUGCGAAAGCGUGGGGAGCAAACAGG
rnacentral:rRNA from 1 species